UACGAAGGGAGCUAGCGUUGUUCGGAAUUAUUGGGCGUAAAGGGUGCGUAGGCGGUUUGGUAAGUCUUAUGUGAAAUCUACAGGCUCAACUUGUAGUCUGCAUGAGAAACUGCCGGGCUUGAGUAUGGGAGAGGUGAGUGGAAUUCCUGGUGUAGCGGUGAAAUGCGUAGAUAUCAGGAGGAACACCUGUGGCGAAAGCGGCUCACUGGACCAUAACUGACGCUGAUGCACGAAAGCUAGGGGAGCAAACAGG
rnacentral:rRNA from 1 species